rnacentral:rRNA from 1 species
UCCUACGGGGGGCAGCAGUGAGGAAUAUUGGUCAAUGGGCGCGAGCCUGAACCAGCCAAGUCGCGUGAGGGAAGACGGUCCUAUGGAUUGUAAACCUCUUUUGUCGGGGAGCAAAAGACGCCACGCGUGGCGUUCCGAGAGUACCCGAAGAAAAAGCAUCGGCUAACUCCGUGCCAGCAGCCGCGGUAAUACGGAGGAUGCGAGCGUUAUCCGGAUUUAUUGGGUUUAAAGGGUGCGUAGGCGGGCUUUUAAGUCAGCGGUAAAAAUUCGGGGCUCAACCCCGUCCGGCCGUUGAAACUGGGGGC